GUCGAGCGGACUUGAUGAGAAGCUUGCUUCUCUGAUNGUUAGCGGCGGACGGGUGAGUAACACGUAGGCAACCUGCCCUCAAGNUUGGGACAACUACCGGAAACGGUAGCUAAUACCGAAUAGUUGUUUUCUUCUCCUGAAGAGAACUGGAAAGACGGAGCAAUCUGUCACUUGGGGAUGGGCCUGCGGCGCAUUAGCUAGUUGGUGGGGUAACGGCUCACCAAGGCGACGAUGCGUAGCCGACCUGANAGGGUGAUCGGCCACACUGGGACUGANACACGGCCCAGACUCCUACGGGAGGCAGCAGUAGGGAAUCUUCCGCAAUGGGCGAAAGCCUGACGGAGCAAUGCCGCGUGANUGAUGAAGGUUUUCGGAUCGUAAAGCUCUGUUGCCAGGGAAGAACGCUUGGGAGAGUAACUGCUCUCAAGGUGACGGUACCUGAGAAGAAAGCCCCGGCUAACUACGUGCCAGCAGCCGCGGUAAUACGUAGGGGGCAAGCGUUGUCCGGAAUUAUUGGGCGUAAAGCGCGCGCAGGCGGUCAUUUAAGUCUGGUGUUUAAUCCCGGGGCUCAACCCCGGAUCGCACUGGAAACUGGGUGACUUGAGUGCAGAAGAGGAGAGUGGAAUUCCACGUGUAGCGGUGAAAUGCGUAGAUAUGUGGAGGAACACCAGUGGCGAAGGCGACUCUCUGGGCUGUAACUGACGCUGAGGCGCNAAAGCGUGGGGAGCAAACAGGAUUAGAUACCCUGGUAGUCCACGCCGUAAACGAUGAGUGCUAGGUGUUAGGGGUUUCGAUACCCUUGGUGCCGAAGUUAACACAUUAAGCACUCCGCCUGGGGAGUACGGUCGC
rnacentral:rRNA from 1 species